GUGUUAUCAUGAGUUCCUUUCAAACACUUCACAUGGAGCUUCUCAUUGGUGGAUAUAUUCUUGAGACCCGUGUGAAGUGUUUGGAGGAACUCUUGAUACCAA
rfam:Zea mays cultivar B73 chromosome 10, whole genome shotgun sequence.